rnacentral:rRNA from 1 species
AUGACGACCCUCGGCGACAACUCCCGCGAGAAGCUUGGGCGCGACAACUUCCUUCUUUGGAAGGCGACGGUCCUGCCCCCGAUCCGUGCUGCACAGCUAGACGGAUAUCUCGAAGGAACGCUCGAAGCUCCGGCCAAGACUCUUGAAGUCUAGAAGGCCGACAAAUCUGGCACCGAGACGGUGCCCAACCCCGAGUACGCUCGCUGGAUAGCCCAAGAUCAGCAGGUUCUUGGCUCGCUAUUGACCUCUCUAUCGCGUGAAGCUCUGACUCAAGUCGUCUCCAUGAAGACAUCCGCGCAGGUCUGGUCAGCCCUUGAGGAGAUGUACUCCUCUGUCUCCCGGUCACGAAUUAUCCAACUUCGGACCCUGUUCGCUGGCACUCGGAAGAACGAGAUGACCGCCACCGCGUACUUCACGAAGAUGCGG